UACGGGAGGCAGCAGUGGGGAAUAUUGCACAAUGGGCGCAAGCCUGAUGCAGCCAUGCCGCGUGUAUGAAAAAGGCCUUCGGGUUGUAAAGUACUUUCAGUCGUGAGGAAGGUGUUAAGGUUAAUAACCUUAGCAAUUGACGUUAGCGACAGAAGAAGCACCGGCUAACUCCGUGCCAGCAGCCGCGGUAAUACGGAGGGUGCGAGCGUUAAUCGGAAUUACUGGGCUAAAGGGCACGCAGGCGGUUAAUUAAGUUGGAUGUGAAAUCCCCGGGCUUAACCUGGGAAUGGCAUUCAAGACUGGUUAGCUAGAGUCUUGUAGAGGGGGUUAGAAGUUCCAUGUGUAGCGGUGAAAUGCGUAGAGAUGUGGAGGAAUACCGGUGGCGAAGGCGGCCCCUGGACAAAGACUGACGCUCAUGUGCGAAAGCGUGGGGAGCAAACAGGGAUUAGAUACC
rnacentral:rRNA from 1 species